rnacentral:lncRNA from 1 species
AACAGCCGUUAUUGCGGUCAGUACAGUGUGUGGAUCAAUAAUACUGGUUCUUUGUGUGAUAGGAUUCUAUUUUAUACAGAACAAGUAUCGGUAAGUAGUUACUAUAUCGUAGACCGAAACAAAAUGAAUCUAUUACAAUUACACGGCGUUCAAAAAUACCAUCGAACAAAUGCCUGAUUAAGGUAGCACUACGUACAGUUUUACAAUGAUUUUUUUAAGAUAUUUUUUUUAUCACAUAAUUUUGAAGUACAUGUAACUAUUAUUCUGCACAGUUUUUUUAGAAUCCAAAAAUAAUUAUCAUUUCACAACAGGGAGUAAAUUGAUAAUGAACUUAUGUAAAUAAAAGCACAAGGUAAUUAAUCUAAACACAUAGGCAUUCAGGAGGGGCUAAUAUGUCAAUCAUCUGUUGAUACCAGUGUCAAGCUGUUAAAUCACUGACCACAAGACAAAUAGUAUGGUCUUAUCUCAUUGUAUCAUUUUGCAACAAAAGCAAGGAGUAGGUCCGGUAAAUGCCGAUUUUGGCCUCAAAUUUCAUGUUCAUCUAACGAAAGAUUUCGGACACUUUUUAAACACUUAAGUGUCUUUUACAAUUGAUUCGAUUAAUUAAUGUGAAGGAUUUCAACUGAUUUAGUCAUUAAAAUCGCUCCGAUUCAAGCUUAAACAUGUUAAAUAUGAUAAAUCUAUCAAAUAUGCCAAAACACUUUUCAGAUGUUUGUUUUUGUCAAAAAUGAAAGUGGCCGCAUCCGUGUGUUCAUCCUCAACCUUUAUAUAUGUUAUGUAUUAUCAUAAAAUACAACUUACAUUUCAAUAUUAUGAAUGAUGCUAGUACCCGAUAUAUGUGCAUUGUAUUGUCACAAACAGUCCAUAUUUAUGUAGCAGAAGCAUUCUUCUUUCCAAUAAAUAGCUAAAAGAUUACAUAUUUUAACAAUUUUGUAAAACUGCUUUUUUGGGGGGCCAAAAAGUGGUCUUACUGAACCUACUCCUUUAUAUAACUGUGAAGUAAACAGAGAAAUGGGGAAAGUUAUUAAAAAGGAGAAAAUCCAAAGGGAAAAAUCUAACCAAAAAUGAACAAAACUAUAUAUAUAAGGAUAUUAAGAGUGUGAAAUUAUCUUUGAAAUCCUCUGACAAACUUUAAACUUUUAAGGUUUUUACUACAAACAAGAAGAAUAUGGCUCUGAAUCUGUCUUCUGUUAGGGGUUUUGGCACUUUAACCAAUUUUAAGUUUAUGUGAAAUUUUUCAAUUCCAUAAAACUCAAAAAUCAUGUGGGACAGUCUAUUUUCAUGAAGGGGAUGGUCUUUAUUAUUUUUUUUUUUUUUUUUGGAACAUGUCUUUUAUUGCAUAAUUUAAAUGUUCUAGCUAAUUUCAUAGUAUAUUUCUUUUUAAAAUACAAAUGAAAAUCAUUCUUUAUAGUGAUUAUAAUGAUGCUAAAUAUUGAUUAUAUGAAGCUGGUCUUUCCUGUUAUUCUCUUAUCUUAGACCGCCUGGAUAGAGGCGGAGCUUUUUCUAUAUUUAAUUACUACAUCACAGAUAUUGGUCAAAUCUGUGACGUCAAACUCCCGCCAAAUGCCAAUUUAGUGUUGGUCAGUGCACAUAUAAUUCAAAAUUUACAGUAUUAGAGCAUCAAAGACACAAAGUGUGUGGUUAUAUUGAAAAAAAUAUUGGUGUCAGAACCCUCCUGGGGUGUUCUCAGUGGAACUUUUGUAUUGAUGAUGCAUUUAUAGGGGUUCUAAGGGGGAAAUUCAGUUUUUAGGUCAUUUCUCAAAACAAUUUUUCAGGAGAAUUGUCAGCAAAAAAUGAAAAUAGAAACUUCAUUGGUACCCCUUUUGGUUUGACUUUGAUAUAUGUGAUAGAAGGGAGUAUUUUCUACAAUACCGUGUCCCAGUUUUUGGAUAAUUUGUUUCUAAAUGAAUUUAUAGGUGUCCAAAGAUGAAAGGUGAAAUAAGGUUUGGCAUCCAGCAGUUAAAUCAAUAUAUCAUCCUACUGGAGACAUGUAUCAAAAAUCUGAGACACGGUUUUGUUUAUAGUGUAUGAUUUAUUAAAGUGAUGAAAACAAAUUUUUACUACCAUUUAACCUGAGUGUGCCAUUUUCAUUCAAGUUGGAAGACCACUUUUUUUGGCAAUUAUGGAGCUAUAAUUUGAGAUUAAUCAUACCAAAAAUAAAUUUAUCUACAGAUUAUAAAGAAGAAUUAAUAUGUCAGCUUUAAAAUGAGUUAUUACCAAAUGAAUGUUAUUUCAACUGAUCGGACGGAGCCUAUUGCUUUAUUUGCAUAAGGACAGUCUACUUGAAGAUGUGUGUGAUAAGGAUGAUUGCCAUUAUAAUAAUUAUUGAUUUCUAAUCACCUAUCAGUGUCAUCAAAGGAAUUAACAAAAGAAUGACAGGACAUUUCAUUGAUGAGUUUAUUCUAAAGAUACCUAUCUAUAGAUGGACUUAUUUAUUAUGAGUGAACCGGUUAAACUCCGGCCAGUCAAAAUAAAUUGAAUAAUAAAUAUUUUAAAAAUCCAUUGAGUAGUUUUGGAGUUUUGGUUGGAGUCAGAAAAUUCUGACUUUAGUGCUACCUUAAAGGACAAGACGAAUAAAUUGCAAUUACCUGCUGCAAUAGCAGAAUUAAGCCAGUUUUUGUUGUUUGAUGUUCUCAUAUAAUGAUGUUUUGUUUGCAAAACAAAUGGAGUAAAGAUAUACCAGACCUACUAUUUGUCACACAAAACGCGGGUUUCUUUGGCGUUUAGCACAUCAUGUGCACUUGCAUCAAAAUUAUAGUCAUUAAUUUUACUUAUAAGAGUGCUGAAUGCUUACCGUAAAGAAGAUGAUAUGAUAUGUCCAUACUUUUUGCCUAUGAAUACGAAAAUAAAAAAUCUAUAUAUAAAUACGAUACACCAUUCUUCAGAUACAAAAUGUAUUCAUCAGACAUCUUUCGUUAGUUGCUUAUAUUUAUCACGAUUCAAUUACUAUUAUUUUUACAUGUUUGCUUUGAUCUUUUUGCUGGACUGCAAAUACUAUCAAAUUAGCUUAAUUUGUAGAAAUUGUCGUUUAAAUUAAGCGGAGGCUUUUAUUACUCAACCAUAAUUGCUUUAUGUUGUAUUUUACAAUGAUGUUAAUUUGUACAAAAUAUCUUUUUGGUUAAGGCCAAGUUGGUUAAUAGCUAUGUUUUCCAAAGAACUUUUUAUAAAAUGGUCACUUUGUCCAAAUAUUUCAGUUUCGAUAUGUUCACAACAUUAUAGACUAGUGACAUCUUAUGUUAACUUCGUGAACUAAUUUAUCCAUAUUAUAUCUACUUUUUCGUUUAUAGAAAAAAAUAGCGAGCUCUGAAAAGGCUUGCAUACUUCCAUUUAUUUUUUUCAGGCGACAAAAAUGCUCUUAUCUCUUAUCGUGUUUACUUUAUGAUUGGUAUAUAUCUUGUUUUUCAAUAUAUUGUUCUAUCCAUUUAAUUUGAAAACAAAAUAAAUAUGUAUGAGAAAAACUUAAAAUUUGUUUAAUUCAAAGGUCAUGUAAGGCGUGUAGUACAUCACUAAUCAAUUAAAAUUAAUCAACAAUAAAGGUUUGCGUAAUAAAACGAACAAAUCGUGGCUAAACAAACAACACUGAUAUUUAACUUAUGAAUUAUGCGUAUUUGCCAAAAAGGUGUUGUUCUGUCACUUGUUGAAUAUUUUUCUAAACUUGAAAUCAUGGUUUUAUAAUUUAGUUAUACUUUGAAAAUUAUAUUAACAAAAAUGUGAUUUUUAGAUCAUGUAUAUAAUAUCUAUAUCUUUAAAUUAGAAAAAGCGAUGACAGAUCAGCAGAUUAUGUCAACACGACACAGCAACAACAACUCUCGUUGUAUGAAGGAGUCGGUCAGACUUUGGAUGUUCACAACUAUGAACAAAUGGCUAGGACGGAACAUUUGUACAAUAAUACCAACUGACACAAUG